rnacentral:rRNA from 1 species
UACGAAGGGGCUAGCGUUGCUCGGAAUCACUGGGCGUAAAGGGUGCGUAGGUGGGUCUGUAAGUCAGUGGUGAAAUCUCCGAGCUUAACUCGGAAACUGCCAUUGAUACUAUAGGUCUUGAAUUAUCUGGAGGUAAGCGGAAUAUGUCAUGUAGCGGUGAAAUGCUUAGAUAUGAACAUAGAACACCAAUUGCGAAGGCAGCUUACUACGGAUUGAUUGACACUGGAGGCACGAAAGCGUGGGGAUCAAACAGGA